rnacentral:rRNA from 1 species
UACGUAGGGUGCAAGCGUUGUCCGGAAUUAUUGGGCGUAAAGGGCUCGUAGGCGGUCUGUUGCGUCAGGAGUGAAAACUCGGGGCUUAACCCCGAGCCUGCUUCUGAUACGGGCAGACUAGAGGUAUGCAGGGGGAGAACGGAAUUCCUGGUGUAGCGGUGAAAUGCGCAGAUAUCAGGAGGAACACCGGUGGCGAAGGCGGUUCUCUGGGCAUUACCUGACGCUGAGGAGCGAAAGUGUGGGGAGCAAACAGG